rnacentral:rRNA from 1 species
AGGACGAACGCUUGCGACGUGCCUAAGAAAUGCAAGUCGAACGGGGUCAUCCUUCGGGGUGGCCUAGUGGCGAACGGUCGCGUAACACGUGGGCAACCUGCCCUGAAGCGGGGACAACACACCGAAAGGUGUGCUAAUACCGCAUGUGGAUCGCUGUGGCAUCACAGAUUAUCCAAAGCCGCAAGGCACUUCAGGAUGGGCCCGCGGCCUAUCAGCUAGUUGGUGAGGUAACGGCCCACCAAGGCUUCGACGGGUAGCUGGUCUGAGAGGACGAUCAGCCGGAUUGGGACUGAGAUACGGCCCAGACUCCUACGGGGGGCAGCAAUUAGGAAUCUUGCGCAAUGGGCGAAAGCCUGACGCAGCGACGUCGCGUGAAGGAUGAAAUCUUUCGGGAUGUAAACUUCUUUUACCAGGGAAGAAUAAUGACGGUACCUGGUGAAUAAGCCCGGCUAACUACGUGCCAGCAGCCGCGGUAA